rnacentral:lncRNA from 1 species
GAGAGUUGUUUUUGUUUUGUUUUGUUUUGUUUUGACUAAAAUUUAGAAAAGUAGAAAUAUUAAGCAAGGUCUAGAAAACAGAGGAACAGCCAGUGGAUUGGAGAUAGUGAGAGCUAAAAGCAGAGAGGUAACUAAGUUUGGAGUCACAAGAUGAGCCAUCACAUUAAGCAUUAUUUGAUGGUGUCUACGAUAGUGGUAAUGACAGGUAUCUACAUGUUACAGGAGCUAGAGUGCCCAAAUUGGAUAAUUCAUAUCUUAUUCGGAUGAAAGACUGUAACUCAUUAAUGCAAAUGACUGCUGCGUGGGUGCUUAAAGAAAAGACAGCUUUGCAAUUAAAUCGCUGGUGCAAUAAAAAAAAGACUUACCCAGAGAACUGACUGGUGACCCAAUUCACAUGCCCUGGCACUGGGAAUAUUUUUGUGGAAUCUCAGAAUUAUACAAAAGUCAAGUGUCUUACUCCAGAAUAUUAAAAACUUAAUGAACUUGCACCAGUUCCCCUCAAACUAUACUUUACCUUGAACAGCAAGGAAGCACUGGGUCAGUAGAGGCGCAUGGGGUGCCCGCUCUGUGCUGAGCAAGCUGCUUGCUUGAUCUACUGCUGCAUGACCGCGGUGAGAUGCGGGCAAACAGCUGAUCACUCUGUUUUCACCACCCUACUCCCCCAACGAGUGGAUAACUGAGCAAAAGCAGAUGACCCUGGCAGAAUAGUACAAUUCUUUACAAACAGAAGUGGGGCCAAUUUACACAUCAUCACAUAGAACUGUCUGGAUAUGGGCUCCAAAGUUUUUCCUUGUUUGCUUGACCCUUGUGGACUACCCUUCACUCCUAGUCCAGUAUUUUCUGCUAAAUUAGAUAGAGGCUCUUUCUUUUAUGUGCUCGAACCAUUACACUGUCCAUCAAGAUUAUCCCCUUCUCCUCAAGCCUGGCUGUUUAACUCUGGACCGUGCCAGACUUCACUCCUCUCUGUUUACACGUCAUAUACUAAUGUCACCUUCUGAAUUGUCAUUUCACAGUCUGAAAUACUUCCCAGAAAGAAGCAGCAAAGUCCUUUGUCUACAACUUUUUAGAAAAUACUAUUUGCGCGGGCCUGCCCACCCACAUCUUACUAUUCUAGUUUUGGCAGGAAUCUAGCCAUCUUCAAAGGCACCCGUGGAGUGGGGAGAGAGGUUCCCAACCCCACCCCUCCCUCAGGAGCUAUAGGCAGUUCAUUAUUGGAUCUUUGACUACAACUUUUCUGAAAGGCUCUGCUGAAAAGAAACAGCCUCUGUGUCUGCUACUUCUUGCUUUGACUCUGAUUACAGAGCUUAACUUUGCAGCCCUUGUCGGCCUGGAACAUUGUGUAGACCAGGCUAGCCUCAUGAGCAUAGUGAUUCUCUUCUUGUUUCUACAUGCUAAGUGCAGAAACUAUAGGCAUGAGGUUCCAGCCCUGGCUAGGUGAAAGUGAUUGCACUGGCUCCAGGCCCAAAGUUCAGUAAAGAACUGUUAAAAUGCUAAGUACCACAAGAUGAAAAGCUUUUUUUUUUUUUUUUUUUUGACAAAUGCCUACCCCGUCUCUCUGUUGUUGUUUUGCAUGUUACUUGAUGUUUUAAUUUUAUUCUGUAUCGCCUUGCCUGUCCUGGAACUCACUCUGUAGACCAGUCUGGCCUUUAAUUCAGAAAUCCGCCUGCCUCUGCCUCUCGAGUGCUAGAGAAUCAAAGGUGUGUGCCACACCACCAGGCUCAGAAAAUACUCUAAUGUGGUCCCUUUUUGUUUAUCAAGCUGUUAAGUAACAGUGAGACUUUUUUUUUUUUUUUUUUUAGACAGGGUCUCUCUGUAUAGCCCUGGCUGUCCUGGAACUCACUUUGUAGACCACGCUGGCUUCGGACUCAGAAAUCCGCCUGCCUCUGCCUCCUGAGUGCUCGGAUUAUAGGCGUGCACCAUCAUGCCCGGCACAAGUGAGACAAAUUGAACUCAGUUGAAAUGUGUACAUUAGUCUGAAGAUCUUAUGUAGGCCGACUUUCAGGGUAGCCUCUGUCUCACAGCUCUAAUCCUCCUCCCUCAUGCUAGGAAAGUAUGAGAACACAUGCCUAUAAUCUCAGAAGGCAAAGAUGAGAAGAUAACAUGUCAGGCUAAUAUAGGAGACCCAUG